rnacentral:rRNA from 1 species
UGGGGAAGUAUUGCACAAUGGGGGGAACCCGUGAUGCAGCGACGCCGCGUGAGUGAAGAAGUACCUCGGUAUGUAAAGCUCUGUCAGCAGGGAAGAAAGAAAUGACGGUACCUGACCAAGAAGCACCGGCUAAAUACGUGCC